AUGGGACUGGAGCAGGAACGGGAAAAGGGACAGGACGGACUGAAAUGGGACGAGUGGGAAAGGGAUAGGACAUGGGACAGGACAGGAAUGGGACGGGACUGGAGCACGAACGGGACAAGGGACAGGACGGGAAUGAGAUGGGACAAGCGGGAAAGGGAUGGGACACAGGACGCGACUGGAGCGGGGAUGGACGCGGGACAGGGGACAGGACAAACAGGAACGGGAACGGAAUUAGACACGGAAUGGGACACGGGACAGGUUGGGACUGGAGCGGGGACAGGAACGGGAUGGGACAAGGAUGGACAGGGAUGGAUACGGGGCAGGACACGGGACAAGACCGGAGUGGGGAUGGGACAUGGGACAGAACAGGAUGGGACACGGGAUGGAACACGAAACAGGACUGGAGCGGGGAUGGACACGGGACAGGGCAGGACAAGCAGGAACAGGAACGGAAUUAGACACGGAAUGGGACACGGGACAGGUUGGGACUGGGGUGGGGAUGGACACGAAACGGGACUGGAGCAGGACAGGAACGGGAUGGGACAAGGAUGGACACGGGACAGGACAGGACUGGAGAGUGGAUGGAUACGGGACAGGACACGGGACAAGACCGGAGUGGGGAUGGGACAGGGGGCAGAACAGGAUGGGACACGGGAUGGAACACGAAACGGGACUGGAGCGGGGACAGGACCGGGAUGGGACACGGAACGGGACUGGAGCGGGGACAGGACCGGGAUGGGACACGGAACGGGACUGGAGCGGGGACAGGAACGGGAUGGGACACGGAACGGGACUGGAGCGGGGACAGGACCGGGAUGGGACACGGAACGGGACUGGAGCGGGGANNNNNNNNNNGCGGGGACAGGACCGGGAUGGGACACGGAACGGGACUGGAGCGGGGAUGGACACGGGAUGGGACACGGAACGGGACUGGAGCGGGGAUGCACACGGGACUGGAGCAGGACAGGAAGGGGAUGGGACACGGAACCCGACAAGAACCGGAACGGGACGCGGGACCGGACACGGAACCGGACACGGAACCGGGAGCGCGACACGACACGCGGCCGGGGGCGGAGCCGCCGCCUGACUGACAGGAGGAAGUCCCGC
rnacentral:lncRNA from 1 species